CAGCCGCCGCGGGAAUACGAAGGGUGCAAGCGUUAAUCGGAAUUACUGGGCGUAAAGCGUGCGUAGGCGGUGAGUUAAGUCUGCUGUGAAAUCCCCGGGCUCAACCUGGGAAUGGCAGUGGAUACUGGCUCGCUAGAGUGUGUCAGAGGAUGGUGGAAUUCCCGGUGUAGCGGUGAAAUGCGUAGAGAUCGGGAGGAACAUCGGUGGCGAAGGCGGCCAUCUGGGACAACGCUGACGCUGAGGCACGAAAGCGUGGGGAGCAAACAGGAUUAGAUACCCGAGUAGUCCCUGUCUCUUAUAC
rnacentral:rRNA from 1 species